rnacentral:rRNA from 1 species
ACUCCUACGGGAGGCAGCAGUGGGGAAUAUUGGACAAUGGGGGCAACCCUGAUCCAGCAAUGCCGCGUGUGUGAAGAAGGCCUGCGGGUUGUAAAGCACUUUCAGCAGGGAAGAAAAGCCUGGCGCUAAUACCGUCGGGUCUUGACGUCACCUGCAGAAGAAGCACCGGCUAACUCCGUGCCAGCAGCCGCGGUAAUA